CUGCACUAGAAGAAGUAGUGUCAGUGGUGAAGAGGCAGCGUACGGCCUGCGCACCGGAGAGAACUUAUUGUCUCAUUUUUCUGUUUUUACAGGCCGCAGCUGACCAUUGAAACAGCAGACUAGAUGGCAGUUUGAUCCCAAACAUGUGUGGCAGUAAUCAGUCCUGGAUGUGCCUAUAGCGAAACUUAACUUGGCUUUCCAAAACAUGUGCCAAAUUUCAGUAAUCCAUGAUUUAACAAGGGUGGGCAAGUAGUUUUUGUCUCGGCGGAGUACACCAGUGUGUUUAGUAACGGACCCAAAAGCAGACACUGGAGGGUGGAACGGUGGUUUUAAACCAAAAACAAACCUUUAUUAGGGCUGAUGAUGAAACGUGCAAAACAACACGAACAGUGACGAGAACUAAACUAACACCUAAACUGGGAAAAACUAAAACUGAUUAUGAAAACGGUGAAAACUAUGAAACAACAAUGAUGACUAUGAAGACUAUGAAUACAAUGACGAGACGUGGAAGGAAAACAGACGACCUGACAAUGAACAAAGGAAAACAGAGGACUUAAAUACACACGGGAGGUGAUCUGGGGAAAUGGAAACACACGGGGAAACAGCUGAAUAGAAAGAACAAAACGACAUCACGGGGAAGUGAAACUAAACACAAUGACAAAUACACACACUGAGAAAUAACAGUAAUCAAGGAAUAAAACUAAAACUUACAAAACACUGGGUCGCAGACCCAGUACCAGUUUUUCACACAGGGCCAUGCACGUCUUUUUAAGCUUUUCCCUUAAUAAAUCAAAUCGUAAUUUAAAUACUGCAUUUUGUAUUUACUUACUUUAUGUGAUUAUCUGAAACUUUUAAGUGUGACAAAUAUGGAAAAGACUAAUAAAAAC
ensembl:lncRNA